AGCCGGGUCUUGCGCAAUGGAAGGCUGUGAAUCCCGCCAGAUCCGGAAGGAAGCAACGGCAGCAGUCCCAAACCAUGUGCCGCAAGGGUGCCUGGCUAUC
rnacentral:SRP_RNA from 1 species